UAGACUAGGUAGAAUGAAACUCUUAACUUAAAUACUUAAGACAUAUAAGUAAUUACGGUUGAGUUAUUACAAUCAUAAGUAUUCUUCGAAGUAGUUAUUUAUAUAUGAUACUUUAUUUCUAAUAGUAUUUCAUAGUAUUAUUAUGUCAAUGAGGUGCUAUUAUUCUAUCAACGUAUGACAUCAGAGAAUUUGAUAUUAGUAGUCAGUCAAAUAAAUAAUAAUAGCCAGUCUUCAUAAAGUAUUAUUAAAGUAUAUGAUAUUAUUAUUUUUGUUUCUUUUAUAUCCAAAUUAAUAAUAAAGUAUUAAUAGUCGGUCAACAUAUAAAAAAAAUACUUAAUAUGAUAAACAAAAAGUUUGCACAUUAUUAACAUUUAAGUAUUUCUGAUCAUGAUGUUUAAGAUACUUAUUUAUUUACCUAUAAAUAUUUAGACAUUUGUUUAACAUACCACUCACAAUUAGUCUCCAUUUUUCAUUUCUUUGAAAUCAAAUUUUUUUUAUAAUGGAAUCAUUAAUAAAAAUGUUCUUCAAGUUUUUGGUGCUUUUUGUUGCGAUUACAAGUGCUCUCGCUAUCAACAUACAAGGCUUACAACCUUGCUGUGAACCAGAAGUGCCAUGUGACCCACAAAGGUGUAAGAAGGCUCCAUGUUGCAUCCCGCCAUCUAGUAAUCGAAAGCCCUAAAAUAUUGAUUAUAUUGUAUUUCCUUCACACCAAUCAUUUUCAACAUGAGAAUCAUUCAUCUCAUAUAUAAUAAUUAUAUUAAUAAGAUUGGUUAUUGAAAUAUUAUUUUGAAA